UUGAACGCUGGCGGCAGGCCUAACACAUGCAAGUCGAACGGUAACAGGAAACAGCUUGCUGUUUCGCUGACGAGUGGCGGACGGGUGAGUAAUGUCUGGGAAACUGCCUGAUGGAGGGGGAUAACUACUGGAAACGGUAGCUAAUACCGCAUAACGUCGCAAGACCAAAGAGGGGGACCUUCGGGCCUCUUGCCAUCGGAUGUGCCCAGAUGGGAUUAGCUAGUAGGUGGGGUAACGGCUCACCUAGGCGACGAUCCCUAGCUGGUCUGAGAGGAUGACCAGCCACACUGGAACUGAGACACGGUCCAGACUCCUACGGGAGGCAGCAGUGGGGAAUAUUGCACAAUGGGCGCAAGCCUGAUGCAGCCAUGCCGCGUGUAUGAAGAAGGCCUUCGGGUUGUAAAGUACUUUCAGCGGGGAGGAAGGGAGUAAAGUUAAUACCUUUGCUCAUUGACGUUACCCGCAGAAGAAGCACCGGCUAACUCCGUGCCAGCAGCCGCGGUAAUACGGAGGGUGCAAGCGUUAAUCGGAAUUACUGGGCGUAAAGCGCACGCAGGCGGUUUGUUAAGUCAGAUGUGAAAUCCCCGGGCUCAACCUGGGAACUGCAUCUGAUACUGGCAAGCUUGAGUCUCGUAGAGGGGGGUAGAAUUCCAGGUGUAGCGGUGAAAUGCGUAGAGAUCUGGAGGAAUACCGGUGGCGAAGGCGGCCCCCUGGACGAAGACUGACGCUCAGGUGCGAAAGCGUGGGGAGCAGACAGGAUUAGAUACCCUGGUAGUCCACGCCGUAAACGAUGUCGACUUGGAGGUUGUGCCCUUGAGGCGUGGCUUCCGGAGCUAACGCGUUAAGUCGACCGCCUGGGGAGUACGGCCGCAAGGUUAAAACUCAAAUGAAUUGACGGGGGCCCGCACAAGCGGUGGAGCAUGUGGUUUAAUUCGAUGCAACGCGAAGAACCUUACCUGGUCUUGACAUCCACGGAAGUUUUCAGAGAUGAGAAUGUGCCUUCGGGAACCGUGAGACAGGUGCUGCAUGGCUGUCGUCAGCUCGUGUUGUGAAAUGUUGGGUUAAGUCCCGCAACGAGCGCAACCCUUAUCCUUUGUUGCCAGCGGUCCGGCCGGGAACUCAAAGGAGACUGCCAGUGAUAAACUGGAGGAAGGUGGGGAUGACGUCAAGUCAUCAUGGCCCUUACGACCAGGGCUACACACGUGCUACAAUGGCGCAUACAAAGAGAAGCGACCUCGCGAGAGCAAGCGGACCUCAUAAAGUGCGUCGUAGUCCGGAUUGGAGUCUGCAACUCGACUCCAUGAAGUCGGAAUCGCUAGUAAUCGUGGAUCAGAAUGCCACGGUGAAUACGUUCCCGGGCCUUGUACACACCGCCCGUCACACCAUGGGAGUGGGUUGCAAAAGAAGUAGGUAGCUUAACCUUCGGGAGGGCGCUUACCACUUUGUGAUUCAUGACUGGGGUG
rnacentral:rRNA from 1 species